UACGUAGGGAGCAAGCGUUGUUCGGAUUUACUGGGCGUAAAGGGCGCGUAGGCGGCGCGGUAAGUCACUUGUGAAAUCUCUGAGCUUAACUCAGAACGGCCAAGUGAUACUGCAGUGCUAGAGUGCAGAAGGGGCAAUCGGAAUUCUUGGUGUAGCGGUGAAAUGCGUAGAUAUCAUCUGGAACGCCAAUGGUGAAAACAGCUCGCUGGGGGUUUGCAGACGCUGAGACACGGAAGCCAGGGGAGCGAACGGG
rnacentral:rRNA from 1 species